ACAGCUUCUUGGCCUUUUGGCUAAGAUCAAAGUGUAGUAUCUGUUCUUAUCAGCUUAAUAUCUGAUACGAUCCCCAUGUGGGAUCUACGAUAUUAAACUGAUUUUUAGAAAAUGGCGAAGUGCUAGGGGCUUGCUCCACCUUUGUUGCAGAUCGGUCCGGUAUUGCAGUACCUCCGGGAAUGGUCCACUCCCU